rnacentral:rRNA from 1 species
UGGGGAAUUUUGCACAAUGGGGGAAACCCUGAUGCAGCGACGCCGCGUGAUUUAGAAGGCCUUCGGGUUGUAAAAAUCUUUUCUAUGGGAAGAAAAUGACAGUACCAUAGGAAUAAGGACCGGCUAAUUACGUGCCAGCAGCCGCGUUACUACGUAAGGUCCGAGCGUUGUCCGGAAUCAUUGGGCGUAAAGGGUACGUAGGCGGGUAAGCAAGUUAGAAGUGAAAUCCUAUAGCUCAACUAUAGUAAGCUUUUAAAACUGCUCAUCUUGAGGUAUGAAAGGGAAAGUGGAAUUCCUAGUGUAGCGGUGAAAUGCGCAGAUAUUAGGAGGAAUACCGGUGGCGAAGGCGACUUUCUGGCCAUAACCUGACGCUGAGGUACGAAAGCGUGGGUAGCAAACAGG